UACGGAGGGUGCAAGCGUUAUCCGGCUUCACUGGGUUUAAAGGGUGCGUAGGCGGUCAGGUAAGUCCGUGGUGAAAUCUCUGAGCUUAACUCAGAAACUGCCAUGGAUACUAUUUGUCUUGAAUAUUGUGGAGGUAAGCGGAAUAUGUCAUGUAGCGGUGAAAUGCUUAGAUAUGACAUAGAACACCAAUUGCGAAGGCAGCUUACUACACAGUUAUUGACGCUGAGGCACGAAAGCGUGGGGAUCAAACAGG
rnacentral:rRNA from 1 species